CCUGUCUACACAGGUCGGAAUGUGACUCCCGCGGGGCGGCCGUGAGAACGGCCACAGCGCCGAUGGGGGUUGAACCACACA
rnacentral:ncRNA from 1 species